AUGGCACAGCAGGACAUUAAGGAAAUAUAUGUAGAAGAAGAGACAGGGGAUGAUGUUGCUUCAGAAGCUGUUAAAAAUAUUGAGGUUGAAAAUAUUUCAGAUGCUGGAGAUGAGUCAUUAGCCAGAGAACAGCUGCCAGUCAAGGAGGUGUCAGAACCAGUAUUAGUUGAAGAGGCUGAAGAGCUCCAUAAAGAAGACAUUAAAAUACAUUUGGAUGAUAAAGUGGAAGACAGUGGAACUGACAGAACGGAUGGGAUUUUUGUGAAAGAGGAAGAGGAACAUGCAGUGAAGGAAGGGCAACCACUGACAAACACUGACAGCAAUAAAACUCCUACUGAUGAAUCUCCUGAAACAAUUGUGGAUGCAGGAAGUGAAAUUGGAGACAUGGUUUGUAAAAUAAGAGAACACACAGUUGUUUCUGCAUUUUCAAAAGAUGUAGCUGAGCACACAGAAACACCAGAAGAGCCUGGCGCUAGUUCUGAAGUCAUACUAAAACCUCUAGAAAUAGUAUUGCCAGAAGUUGCAGCAAAACCUGUAGCAACAGAAAUUGCACAACCAGCGACAAUGGAGAAUAUUAAGACUGGUAAAGUUUUAGAGAUGGUUGCCAUUAUUGAGAACACAACAAAACAAUCUGGGAAAGAGAAGCCUAUGGUGUCUGAACCAGUGACACAGGUACUUGCAAAAUCUAAGCUACCAAAACCAACAGAACAAGAUGGUGAAGAAAUAGAUGGUGAACAGACCCCAGCAAUGACACUGUCAGAAAUGAAAGAAACGCCAGUUCCAGAAGAAAAAGAUACAAUGGCUGUUGUUCCCAAACCAGAACCAGAAGGGUUUAAUUCAGGGCCGACUAUGAUUGAAGUGCCUACAAUCACAGUGCUGGCACAAAAUUAUACUGCUGCAGAAAUAGAAGUUAGUAAUAUGAGUGAAAAGAGGAAUGAAGAAGAUGAAAAUGCUGGUCUAAAAUGUGAACCUCUUGAACAGGUAACAGAAAAGAUACUGUCAAAUGAGUUGCAAUUAGACAAGACAGAAAUUAAAGAUGAAAUACCUGCAGUAAUGGAAAAAACACCCAUUGCACAAGAAUCACCACUGACCUCUGAAGUUACAGCAAAAAUGCCAGAAGUUGCUGUUUCUGAGAUACAGUCACAAGUAGUGAGUGAACUCAGGGCUGAGACACUUGAAGUGACAGAACCAAAGGUAGAAAUUCCAGUGGUAUCAGAAGUGAAAGUAGAGACAGCUAUAGUAACUGAACUGGAAGUGGAGACACCAGUUGUCACCUCAGUGGCUAAAGAACUUGAAGUAGGAACACCAGUGGUUACAUCUAUGGCAAAUACAACUGAUACUCAUAAUUCUGCUGUUACAUUACAAAAUCAAAACAUAGACUCUGACACAUCAGUGUUAACAACAGUGACCAAAGAACAAGUGGUGGAGAUUCCAACUGUUAUUUCUGUGGUAGUGACACCAGCUACACCUUUAGAUGAAGUAACACCAGUUGUAACUCUAGGCAAUGAGUCAAAGGAUGUACCUUCUGUAAAAGAGACACCUGUCGAAACACCAAAUGUCGAAUCAGUGAUUGUGAGGACUGCUGUAGUCCCAGUAGUAGAGAUACAGAAUGUGAUUCCAGUGGUAGCAACACCAGAUCUUGGUUCAGUAAUAGUAACAGGAGCUGCAACUCCAGUGAUAAGUACAGGAACAGUGACUACUACACUAGCAGAAGCACCAGUUGUGAGCACAGUUGUAGAAACACCUGUUUUUUCUGUCACAGCAGUAAAAUCAACUCCAGCUGCAGUAGAGAAAACAGUUGUGUCCCCUGUAGUAGAGAUCCCAGCCACAGUAACAUCUGUUGUGGAGACUCCAGCUGUUGUUUCAGUGGAAGAGACUGUACCUCCAGAAGAGGUUACACUAGAUGUGACCUCAUUUGCAGAAACACCUGUGAGCCAAGUAACUGAAACUCCCAUUGUCUCCAUUACAUCAGUAAAACCAACUGUAGCUAAAAUGGCAAAGGCACCAGACACUGAGAUACCAGUUAUGAUUUCAAUGACAGUGGCAGAAGCUGUAUUUCCUGUAGUAGUUACAUCAGCUGGAACUCCAGUAGCAUCAGAAACAAUUAUGAUCCCAGAAGUAAAAACUUCAGUAGCAACUUCACCUGCAGAGACAUCAUUUGUGACACCAGUGGUAGAAACACCAGCUCAGAUUUCAGUAAUUGCAACACAUGCAGCACCUCCAGUUACACCAGCAGCAACUGCAGCAUCAGAAACAUCAGCUGUGAUUCCAGCUGUAGAAACGGCUGUUGUAGAAUCACCUCCAAUUGCAGUGGUUGAGACACCAGUUGUGACCCAAGUGGUACAGACACCAGGUCAGGUUUCAGUGAUGGUAACAGAGACUGUCCCUCCGGUAGUUAUUUCAGAAGAGACUGCAGCAGUAGAAACACCUGUUGAGUUCCCAGUAUUACAAACACCCAUUGUAAAUUCAGCUCCAGUUGCAGUGGUUGAGACGCCAGCUGUGACCCCAGUGGUACAGACACCAGGUCAGGUUUCAGAGAUAGUAACAGAGACUGCACUUCCAGUAGUUGUUUCAGCAGUGGCUGCAACAGUAGAAACACCUGUUAUGAUCCCAGUAGUAGAAAGUCAAGUAGUAAAGCCAGCUCCAGUUGCAGUGGGUAAGACACCAGUUUUGACUCCAGUGGCACAGACACCAUGUCAGGUUUUUGUGGCAGUAACAGAGGCUACUCCUCCAGUAGUUGUUUCAGCAGUGACUGCAGCAGCAGAAACACCUGUUAUGAUCCCAGUAGUGGAAACUACAACUCCAGUUGUAGUGGCAGAGACACCAGUUGUAACCCCAGUGAUGAUGACACCAACUGUGACUCCAAUAGCUGAAAGGUCAGUUGUGAGCCUUGUACUAGAAACUACCACAGAAGCACCAACUGCAAUUGCAAUGGCAGAGAGACCUGUUAUGAUCCCAGUGGUACAGACACCAGUUCUGGUUUCAGUGAUUGCAAAAGAGGCUGCACCUCCAGUAGUUCUACCAGCAGUGACGGCAGGAGUAGAAGUAAAGCCACCAGUGGUAGAGACACCAGUUUCAGUACCAGAAGCACCUGCUGUGAUCCUAGCAGUACAAACACCAGUUACAGAGCAGGUAGCACAGACACGGACGACACCAGCCGUGCUCUUGGUAAAGACAUCAGUUGUAACUGGGAUGGAGGCACCCACUGUGACUACAUUAGAAAAGGCACGACAGGAAACACCAGUAGCAGAGACACCUGCUUUAUCCCCUGUGAUGAUGGCACCAGCUGUUGCCGCAGUUGUAAUAGCAACAGCUCCACCUGUUGCUACACCAGAAGUAAAGAAAGCAAUGUUGCAGGUAGUUGAACAGCAGAAAAAGGAAGCAAAGUCAGAGGCUUCAGUUGUGUCUAAAGAUGUUGAACCACCAUUUGUGGCUGCGAAAGAGGUAACGACAUCAGUUUUAACUCGAAAGUGUAUAUCAGAUGAAGAAAACGGGAAGGCUUCCUUGCGGCAUACUUCAACAGAACCUCAGUCAGAGGUAGAAGAGGAUGUGUGGGAGGAUGCUGUAGAUAAUAUUGGAGAUUCCCUGUGUCAGGUGACACUCACAGAGGAUGCACCCCAAGAUACUGCUGCUAAACAAACAUCUGAUGCUGCUAUUUGAUAGUGGCGUGCUAAACCAGAUGAAAGAUUUGAAUGAGUUGGUGCAAGUUUAACAAGGAUAAUUCAGAACAUUUUACACCUGGAAGUGGCUGUGCUCGGCACAAAAUCAGCUGGGAUUCACAUUUCUGACAACAAAGAAAUGACCAAACCACUGAGAAGCAAAAUUGCAUCAUUAAAGUUCCAUUAAGCAAAAGUGAAACCAAAAACAGUAGUUAUUCAG
rnacentral:lncRNA from 1 species